rnacentral:rRNA from 1 species
AUUGAACGCUGGCGGCAGGCCUAACACAUGCAAGUCGAGAGAGUGGCGGACGGGUGAGUAAUGUAUGGGGACUGCCCGAUAGAGGGGGAUAACUACUGGCAACGGUAGCUAAUACAGCAUACGAUCGGAUCACCCCUAUGGGAUUAGCUAGUAGGUGGGGUAAUGGCUCACCUAGGCGACGAUCACUACCUGGGCUGAGCGGAUGAUCAGCCACACUGGGACUGAGAAACGGCCCAGACUCCGACGGAGGCAGCAGUGGGGAAUAUUGCACAAUGGGCGCAAGCCUGAUGCAGCCAUGCCGCGUGUAUGAAGAAGGCCCUAGGGUUGUAAAGUACUUUCAGUCGGGAGGCGUUACCGACAGAAGAAGCACCGGCUAACUCCGUGCCAGCAGCCGCGGUAAUUG